rnacentral:rRNA from 1 species
GCUAUACAUGCAAGUCGAACGCUUUGUGGUUCAACUGAUUUGAAGAGCUUGCUCAGAUAUGACGAUGGACAUUGCAAAGAGUGGCGAACGGGUGAGUAACACGUGGGAAACCUACCUCUUAGCAGGGGAUAACAUUUGGAAACAGAUGCUAAUACCGUAUAACAAUGACAACCGCAUGGUUGUUAUUUAAAAGAUGGUUCUGCUAUCACUAAGAGAUGGUCCCGCGGUGCAUUAGCUAGUUGGUAAGGUAAUGGCUUACCAAGGCGAUGAUGCAUAGCCGAGUUGAGAGACUGAUCGGCCACAAUGGGACUGAGACACGGCCCAUACUCCUACGGGAGGCAGCAGUAGGGAAUCUUCCACAAUGGGCGAAAGCCUGAUGGAGCAACGCCGCGUGUGUGAUGAAGGGUUUCGGCUCGUAAAACACUGUUGUAAGAGAAGAAUGACAUUGAGAGUAACUGUUCAAUGUGUGACGGUAUCUUACCAGAAAGGAACGGCUAAAUACGUGCCAGCAGCCGCGGUAAUACGUAUGUUCCAAGCGUUAUCGGGAUUUAUUGGGCGUAAAGCGAGCGCAGACGGUUAUUUAAGUCUGAAGUGAAAGCUCUCAGCUCAACUGAGGAAUUGCUUUGGAAACUGGAUGACUUGAGUGCAGUAGAGGAAAGUGGAACUCCAUGUGUAGCGGUGAAAUGCGUAGAUAUAUGGAAGAACACCAGUGGCGAAGGCGGCUUUCUGGACUGUAACUGACGUUGAGGCUCGAAAGUGUGGGUAGCAAACAGGAUUAGAUACCCUGGUAGUCCACACCGUAAACGAUGAGUGCUAGGUGUUUGAGGGUUUCCGCCCUUAAGUGCCGCAGCUAACGCAUUAAGCACUCCGCCUGGGGAGUACGACCGCAAGGUUGAAACUCAAAGGAAUUGACGGGGACCCGCACAAGCGGUGGAGCAUGUGGUUUAAUUCGAAGCAACGCGAAGAACCUUACCAGGUCUUGACAUCCCUUGACAACUCCAGAGAUGGAGCGUUCCCUUCGGGGACAAGGUGACAGGUGGUGCAUGGUUGUCGUCAGCUCGUGUCGUGAGAUGUUGGGUUAAGUCCCGCAACGAGCGCAACCCUUAUUACUAGUUGCCAGCAUUCAGUUGGGCACUCUAGUGAGACUGCCGGUGACAAACCGGAGGAAGGUGGGGAUGACGUCAAAUCAUCAUGCCCCUUAUGACCUGGGCUACACACGUGCUACAAUGGCGUAUACAACGAGUUGCCAACCCGCGAGGGUGAGCUAAUCUCUUAAAGUACGUCUCAGUUCGGAUUGUAGGCUGCAACUCGCCUACAUGAAGUCGGAAUCGCUAGUAAUCGCGGAUCAGCACGCCGCGGUGAAUACGUUCCCGGGUCUUGUACACACCGCCCGUCACACCAUGAGAGUUUGUAACACCCAAAGCCGGUGGGGUAACCUUCGGGAGCCAGCCGUCUAA